rnacentral:rRNA from 1 species
UACGUAGGGGGCUAGCGUUGUCCGGAAUUAUUGGGCGUAAAGCGCGUGUAGGCGGCUUUGCAAGUCGGGUGUGAAAGCCCCGGGCUCAACCUGGGAAUUGCAUUCGAGACUGCUCUGCUAGGGUGCGGAAGAGGGAAGCGGAAUUUCCGGUGUAGCGGUGAAAUGCGUAGAUAUCGGAAGGAACACCAGUGGCGAAAGCGGCUUCCUGGUCCAGCACCGACGUCAGGCACGAAAGCGUGGGGAGCAAACAGG